CGUCUUUGACUUGCUACCAUUGUAUAUAACAUUAGAUUUAUGGUUAUAAUUUUGAUAGUUUUAUACAUGUGGGAAAGUUCGAUUCACGAUAUGGAUUAAUUGUAUAAUUCACCCCCACUCCAACCCAUUAGAUUUAUGUCUUUGACAGUGUUGUGUUGCUAUCUAAAACUGCUGUUAGGCUGGUGUAUUUGUAUGUGAACAACAUAUAAGUAGUAGCUACUGUCAAUCUGUAGUUUAAAUAAAACAAAAUUGGUUCAGAAAAAAAGAAUUGCAAAAUAGUGCAGAUGAUAACCAUUUCAUUUAACUGAAGUAGGACUUGGCUACAUUGGUAACCAAACCUCAAUUUGGAGACACUGCUUACCAAGAAAGUUUCUGGGUUUACUUCCUAUACAAUAAUAUCUUAAUUUAAGGCAAGAUCUGGAAAGACCCAAGAUUUUACGAGAAAAAGAUAAGUGAGUGUGAAAAUGGAGUACAGGAAGCUCAAAGAUCAGGAUGAAAAUGGAAAUUCAGCUGCCGACGACAUGAAAAAUUUACGGGGAACUCCGCUUUCUAUUGCACCAACUAUGGGAGAGGGGCCAAUAGACCGAAAAUGGAAGCACAAGUAUGAUUGAAGUAGAGGAGCUUCAGCCAUAUUCACAUGGAUAUACGGAGCUAAACUUUUUCUGAAGGAUGAGGGAACAAUGAUGACCCACAUUGACACCAUAUUCAAAUUGGGGUUAACAUGAAGUCUGUUUAUCUUUUAAUGUAACAUUAAAUCUUUAUUUAUUGGGUUUAACCUAGCUGUGAAAAUAACAUUUGGCUUUUUUCCUACUGCUGAACUUGUAAUAUAUAAGACCUCUGCUUAAUUAAGAUGGCAGAAAAGAAUGCAGCGGAGGAUUUUAAUCGAGGAAGCUGAGAAUAAGCAGGACGACGACAUGUGGACAUCAGUGAAUAAUCAAAGAAAUAAGCUUUUCCAGAGAUGGAUGUCCAAGGAUGCUAUUGAUUUAUUUUGAUUGAGGUGAGAGGGAAUCUAGAAGACAAUUAUCUCAGUUCCUGAUAGUGCUCAUGGCCUCUGUAGGUGUGGCUCCUUCAUCUGGAUUAGGAGACGGCAGUGGAAAUACGGUUGCCCAGUGAGAUGAAUAACAUGAAAAUUAGGGAUGACGUACAAGAUAAACAAUACCCACUUAUUAUUGGCUCAAUCUUUGAUCCUGCUGUGGACUUUUCAAAAGGAGUAUUCUUCUUUUCUUAUCAGUUAUGACUUAUGGAGUUGGUCUCUGGUCUUGGUGGCUGAAAUUUUUUUUGUUACAAUGUAGGCAUUGACGUAAUGAUGUGUUGACCUGCUGUUCAAAUUCUUUGUUACAACUUCAGCAAUUAAGCUGUUUUUUAAUUCUAGGAGUUGACCUGGCUUAUAUGCUCAUUGGUAUUGAAAAGAGACACCUACCUGAAGCAUAGCCGGAAGCAAAAUUGAGCUGUGAAAAUCUUAAUCAAAGAUUAUGUAGUGAACCUUGAACGGCAGGAGACGUGAUGAUUUAGAAUGUUGAUGAGGAAAUACUGUAGUCAUGGGAGAUUCUUCUGCAGCAUUUAUACACACGUAACUGUUGAUGGCAAAGCUUCUAUCCCAAAAUUCCAUUUUUGCAAUAUGUAAAUAUACAAAUCUACUUAAAUACCAGCUUUUGUAAUAUGUAAAGUUAUGACAUUCACCAAUAAACGUUUCUUAGUUUA